rnacentral:rRNA from 1 species
UACGAAGGGGGCUAGCGUUGUUCGGAUUUACUGGGCGUAAAGCGCACGUAGGCGGACUAUUAAGUCAGGGGUGAAAUCCCGAGGCUCAACCCCGGAACUGCCUUUGAUACUGGUAGUCUUGAGUUCGAGAGAGGUGAGUGGAAUUCCGAGUGUAGAGGUGAAAUUCGUAGAUAUUCGGAGGAACACCAGUGGCGAAGGCGGCUCACUGGCUCGAUACUGACGCUGAGGUGCGAAAGCGUGGGGAGCAAACAGG